CAGUAGCCGCGGUAAUACAGAGGGUGCGAGCGUUAAUCGGAUUUACUGGGCGUAAAGCGUGCGUAGGCGGCUUCUUAAGUCGGAUGUGAAAUCCCUGAGCUUAACUUAGGAAUUGCAUUCGAUACUGGGAAGCUAGAGUAUGGGAGAGGAUGGUAGAAUUCCAGGUGUAGCGGUGAAAUGCGUAGAGAUCUGGAGGAAUACCGAUGGCGAAGGCAGCCAUCUAGCCUAAUACUGACGCUGAGGUACGAAAGCAUGGGGAGCAAACAGGAUUAGAUACCCCCGUAGUCCCUGUCUCUUAUAC
rnacentral:rRNA from 1 species